CCUACGGGUGGCUGCAGUGGGGAAUAUUGGACAAUGGGGGGAACCCUGAUCCAGCCAUGCCGCGUGUGUGAAGAAGGCCCUCGGGUUGUAAAGCACUUUCAGUGAGGAAGAACGCCUGGUGGUUAAUACCCAUCAGGAAAGACAUCACUCACAGAAGAAGCACCGGCUAACUCCGUGCCAGCAGCCGCGGUAAUACGGAGGGUGCGAGCGUUAAUCGGAAUUACUGGGCGUAAAGCGCGCGUAGGUGGCUUGAUAAGCCGGUUGUGAAAGCCCCGGGCUCAACCUGGGAACGGCAUCCGGAACUGUCAAGCUAGAGUGCAGGAGAGGAAGGUAGAUUUCCCGGUGUAGCGGUGAAAUGCGUAGAGAUCGGGAGGAAUACCAGUGGCGAAGGCGGCCUUCUGGACUGACACUGACACUGAGGUGCGAAAGCGUGGGUAGCAAACAGGAUUAGAUACCCUAGUAGUC
rnacentral:rRNA from 1 species